rnacentral:lncRNA from 1 species
ACCACAGAAACACAAACACAAAAAUAACUUAAAUUCUUCUAUGCUAUGCUGCUAGUUUUCUCACAGUAUUGGACGGUUUCUCUUAAUGAAUUUCUCUCAAUGAUUUCUGUAGCUAGCAUAGGUUACUUUAGUCAUACUUGGUGUUGAUUCGACUAGGACCUCUUGUAUACUAGGUGUUGAUUCUCAACAUAGUUCAUUCCAAAUCAUUCCAUAUUUUAUUUAUUGGCUACUGAAUGAAACAUCAAUCUCUGUUGUCCCAUUGGCACCUAAAGCCCCAUCAGAGCAGAGGAACUAUUGCUGAUCAUUGCUGCUCAUUUAUGAGAGCCGCAACAUUUGUGAUGCCCUGUUCUAGUUUCUUUCCGGCAUUUACGUGGAUCAAUGAACAAUAAUGCAACUUUUCUGCUGUGGUUGAGGGCCUGAGGCCAAGGUGCAAAAGAUAUUUCCGGCAUUUUUCAUCAUUUGCGGCACCAAGAUCCUGAGCAAAAAGGACAAUAAUUCGAGCUAUCUUUGAUCUAUCUAUAUAUCUUGGCCUUACUAGGAAAAAAUUAUUAUGCAUCUAUAUAUAUAUGGUCUUACUAUCUAUCCAUCUAAUCUAAUGCUUAUCAUGCAUUUAGCAGAAUCAGAUCAUUCAUACUUUNNNNNNNNNNNNNNNNNNNNACAUUUAUGAACUCGGAAACAAGUGUCCACAGUAUGACCUCGUUUACCACAUACUGUGCAUUCAACUGCUCCUCCAUUUCCACUGUACUUGUUGUCUUUGCUCUUGUACUCUCCUUUGUUAUCCCAGUUUUUAGUGCCUCUGUCCCUCUCAUUGUGUCUUGAUCCUUCACCAUGUGCAACCAUAGCACUCAUAUUAGGAAACACAGAAAAUGUACCUUUAAAUCUUCUUUCAGCAACAAGAAGUUGUGCUCUCAGAUCACUUAGAGAAAUAGGAUUCUCUCUUCCCUCAACAACAGUUCUUAGAGUAGAGUACUCAUCAGGAAGUCCAUUGAGAAUAACAAUGAUUAUAUCUUCAUCAGGAAUUGUAACUCCAACAGACAUCAGCUGAUCUCUUGCAUUUUUAACCCUUUGAAGAUAUUUUUCAACACUUUCUGCUCCCUUGCACAAAGUUUGGAGCUCAGUUUUGAGUUGCAUAAUACUCACUCUAGAUGCAGCAGAGAAACGUUCUUGAAGAGCAAGCCAAGCUUGUCUAGAUGUCCUGCAUCCAAUUAUGACAUCUACAAUAUCUUCAUCCAGAGUAGCCAUGAGAAGACUUAGAAGAGCCAUAUCAGUCUUUUUCCAAGCCAUAAAAGCUGCAAUUUCUUCAUAUGUGACCUUACCAUUAGAGGUUAAUGCAUAUCGAGGAGGACAGACCUCAGUACCAUCAUAAAAUCCAAAUAAGUCAUUGCCAGCAAGAGUGGAUUAGAAUUGAAAACUCCACUUGAUAAAGUUUCUUUCACUGAAACGCAUAGUGAUAAUACUCAACAGUGAAUGCACAUCUGAAUGUGUAAGAGUGUGACUAGCAGCAUUGUGAUCAGUAGUGCUUUGUGUAGGAGCCAUUUUCAACUGCAAGCAAUAUUCAAACAAAUUUCUUGAAACACCACAAAAGAGACCCUUAUGACUCAAUCCUCAGAAACCAAAACACCUCAGACCUCUCAGAGAACUUCUUAUUCUCUUAGCAUACAAAAUCAGACUUCCAGCAAAUCUUGAACAAGAGCAUGCAGAGAAUACUCAAUAAUUCCCAAAUGCUAUAUGCUCCAAUAUUGUAUUAAGACAACUCCUUAGACCUCUUUUUACUGAUAUUUAACACAAAAGCAACAAUAAUACCCAGAAAUGCUCAGUUUUGCUCUAAAUACUCAGAAAUACUCAUAUUUGCUCUCAGUUUUGCUAAGAUUUACUCUAAAUACUCCAAUUUUUUCAACUCUUCAUAUAUACUCCAAUUUUGCUCACUUAAUCAUCAAAUCUCACCAUACAAAAGCAUCAAGAUCAUCAUAACCUUCAAAUGAAGAAAGCUCACAGUGGACUUAGUAAAUCUGAACAAACUUCAUACUUUCCUCUAAUCAACAAGCAUAGUAGCUAAUCCAUAGAAAACCUCUUGAACCGAUCAACAAUAUGACUGAAAAUUAUGUAGAUCCGAAGAGCGUAGAACUCAAUUUAACCAAAAGAUACACAAGAAUCUCAAGAAGAUCAGACCUGAGUUUUAGAUGUAUCACAGUACUGACGAACAAGCCUCAAUGAAGAUCAGAGCAGUUGAUCCACAACUUGAAGAUGAGAGAGCUUCGAUUUUCACCACAGAGCGCAAGCUAGAUCUGAAUUCAGAAAGCAAAUAUAUGAACAAUCAUACACAGAAGCAGAAGAAUAUAUCAGAGGUCCAUGAUCUAUGGCUGCUCUGAUACCAUGAUAGCCAUGGCAUCAGAGAUGAGCUUGAUAACAAAAUUGAAAGCAGAAAAUUGAGAGAGAAAGAAACUGAGAGCAAAUCAAACUCUUUUGCUUAGAAUAUAGCAUAGAAUUCAUUACAAAGGAGAAUAAAGUCAGAUAGCUAUUUAUACAACAGAAAAGGAAAUCGGAAGCUUUCUAACAGAAUUGAGAGCUGGAAUAUAGCUGUCAAAAUACACGUGGCAUAAAGAUUCUAGAAUCUGUUAGAAGAAUAACGGACUAGUCAACUCUUCCAUUCUUCUUCUACUACAGUCAACAAAUUGAAACUGACACAAUGUUUUCUUUUUCUUUUUCUUUUUUUUCUUUUUUUUGGGUAAAUGAAUGAAUAUAUAGAAGAACCCAGGCUAAAAACAAGCCAAGGAACAACAAGAACAGAAGCUACAAAGCUAAAGCUAACAAAACAACACCCUCAAAACAAACACAUAAAACUAAGAAGCUAGUCUCCAUUCAUGAAAAAUGUAAGCGUUAGAAGAAGUAUGAGGAAUCUUCCAAGACAAUAAGCAGAGGCGAAUGGACUCCACAAUUCCUUUAAACACAACAGCAGGAGGAAGACUCUCAAAAAUAGAAAUGGUACCACAAUGUUUUCUUUUUCCUGAGACAGAACAAUCAGACCAAUAAUGUGUGACUUGAAGAGCACAAAUGAAAAUGAUAUCAAGAACUGCAAGAGUGCAGCAAGGGUGAAAGAAACAAUUGGUCUACGAAAGAGGGAAAAUUGAGGUUUCAAUUGCCAAUUAAUGAAGUUGAUUAACUUAAAGAAGGAUGCAGAGCUGCAAUGAAAAUUACAUUGUGUUCUUAAUACAAACCGGAGCUAUAAUUUACGGCCAAAAUUGAAAAGGAAUCAUCAGGAUCUAGAUUGAGAGAAGUUCCCGAUGUACCUACUCAUGAUCACUAACAGAAACAAAACUCAAGAAAAUCAUCAAUGUCCGGAAAAAGCUUCCCCGAAUAUCCAUCAGAUAGACCCCCACUUACAUAAGCUGUUGAGAUUGGUGAUUCAUUUUCAUUCAAAUGUGAAAAACCCAUGUGAUGCAGCAAGUAUUGACUUGGGAUGAAUAGUUAUCUAUGGUAUAGCUAGGAACAAAGCCUUAAAUGGUGUUUGUGGAAAUUGAAGGUAUAUGAGAGUCUUCUAUGGUGUGCUUGCAGCAAAUGGAAUAGGAGGGAAGAAAAAGCUUUGGCUUUUUCACAUGGUAUGAUUGUUGCCUAUAAAUAGGCUGCAUGGAGAACCAAUAGAAGCAUGCAAGGAAGUUUGCAUCGAGUAAGCAUCGGACAAGCAAUAGAGCUUGUGGGUUGUGCAUGAGAGUGAGAGAGAAAAAAGUGCUAAGAGGGAAAUACUCUUAGGUGAGAUAUUGUGUUCUUGGGUAUUCUAUGAGUGAGGGUGUACAAGGGUUUUAGGAUUUGGGUUAUGAGAUUUAACUCAUGUAUCUUGUACUAGUUUUAUUCUCAUAGUGGAAGAGCAAUAUCUUGGGGUGGACAUAGGCAUGUUAUUUGCCGAACCACGUUAAAUCUCGUGUCAAUUGUUUUUUUCAUCAUUGUUUGUUAUUCAGCUUUAUUACGAUAUUGUUGGGUGUGUCUACUCUUGGAUCUCGGUUCGUUCGUGGGGUUAAAAUCUCAACAUAAGCCUCAGAUGUGCAUACCAGCAACACCAUGUACCAAAAACAGUGAGAAGCUGCCAAUCAAUAUCAUCCUCCAUCCUCAAGUACUCUCCAAUAUCAGCCUGGUGAAGCACCACAAUUCCAUUGGGGUCCAACUUCCUACAAUCCUGGGUAGAUUAGGCGGCAAUCCCAAAAUUCAAUGGAAUAUCCGACAUUGAAAAAACAACCACCCCAUCACCAGGCACAAUAUUUUCUGUAAUCCUCCCCAAGCCACCUUUCAGAAUAUGGUUUCCAUAUAAAUACGACAUCUCAGAGGUAGGUUUGAGCCAGACCUUGUGUUUAGCAUUCGAGGCCAGUAAACUCAAACACUGAACAGUUAGGUGGAAGCUACCACCGUGAUUGAACUUCCCAAUGCAAGUUCCAAGAGAGACUAGAUUAACACAAGCUAUGUUGGUUGCACGCUUUACUAGUGAGUCACUGACGUAGUAGACCUUGUUCUUGUUGAGUCGAAAGCAUAACAAAAGAGAGCAAAAAGUAAAAAAGGAAGAAUGUCUCAGAAGCAUUUCAUCAAACACCUUGCGAGCAACAUUUUAGUUGUUCUAUACAUUCACUGAUUCAUAGGUGGUGAUAGAAAGAGUCACUGAUAGUCCAAAUACGUGCAAAUAGCAAACAGAAAAGGCAAAAAAACGAAGAACCUUAAAGUACCUGGGAUCAAAAAGAGAGGGAAGGAGGGAAAAACCUGGGAUCAAAAAGAGAAGGAAGGAGGGAAAAAAUCCCAAAAAUAUUUAGACCAUUUAUCAAUUAGGUUUAUUGUAUUGGUUUUUAUCAAGGAAACUAUGUGUGUGCUUGCAAAGUAGAUUACCAUUCGAGGUGUUGUUAAUUGUGAAGCUACCACUCACAUUCUAAUCAUCUUUUUCAGGUUGGUUUGUUUAUAAUCCCAUCCCUUUUAUGUCUACGUACUCUACUUUUUUUUUAAUGAAUUUAUACUCAUAUAUAGAUAUAGAUAUAUAAUUUCAGUUAUAUGUAGCACCAAAUGUUGUAUAAUGAUUUUGUAUGCAUAAUGGCUUAUUCUUAUAUGUUCUUCACCACGAUUUGGUCUUUGUCAGUUUAUGAUAGUAUCAGAGAGUGCAUUGGGUUGAUGAGAGUUCCACUUAUAUAUGACUCAUUCAACCUAAUAGAGAUACCAAAAGAGGUUAACUCUUAGUCACUGUUUUUUGCCAUUAUUUCUAUAAAUGGUUAGAGAAAUUUAUAUUCCAAGUUUGCAAAUCCAAGGAAUCAGAAUAGCAAAAGCUACUAGCUACUAAAAGUUUAUUUUUCAAGUUUGCAUGUCUACUGAUUUAUAUAUGUUUGCGCUAUUAAUUUGUAAUAUAAACAUAAUUUUUUUUUCUAUGCACUUGCAGGAGCAGUGUAUGGAUUACUGAAGCAUUGCGGUUGCAGCUAGAAGAACAAAAGUGGCUUCAUCAUGAACAACUUGUGGUAUGCAUUUGGGAGCCGUGCACUAUUUUCAUGUUUGCAUAUGAAUGCAUGUGCAACUGUUUAGAUGUUUACAUCUGCAUUUUUUAUCCAUAUACAUGUGUACAUCACUAUUUGCUUGGAAUAUCUAAGAGAUGUGAGUUAUGCUACUGAGGCAUUUCAUUUGCUUGGAAUAUCUAAGAGGUAUACUAUUAAUUAAUUUAGGCAGUUUUAUAUUUGAUGUCACAAUACGUGUUCUCUUCUUUUUCUUAUUCAUAAUUUUUCAUUUGUAUUUUAUUUCCUGCAUAUAAGUAUAAUUUUUCUGGUGAUCAACUGUGUAUUAACUUGGCUAUAUAUUGAUACUUGUAUGCCAUUCUAUAAGGUCGAUUGAACAAGUGAUUGGUCUAGCAUAUUGAAACAUUAGGGAUUAUUCCUGUAUUGAAUCCUUUUAUGCAAUUAUAUGACAUUAAAAGUCGUUUCAACUCAUUUCCUGAAUAAAUACAGCAUCCAAGCAGUUUCCAUUUCAUCUCAUUUUGAAACUUAUAAUGUUAUCCUCGUUUUGUAGGUUGGAGUUUGAUUUGGCUAUGCAGAGCAGUGAUUUAAAUAGGGCUCUCCAGUGCCUACUCACAAUGAGCAACAUCAGGGACUUGGGGCAAGAUAAUUCAAUUCAGGAUUUGAUGUGAAGGACAUUCUAAGUAUGACAUAUCACCAAUGUAAGAGCUUAUGAGGUUUUAUGUCACCAUCUAGUGAUAAGGAUUGGUUGCUCAAUUCAGUGAUAUGACUUGGUUUUUGAUGUUAUAACUUAUUGUUGUUAUAGCUUAUAGGUCUCUUUGGAACAAAUAACUUUUUGUAAAAUUUGUUGGUGUUUGGCAAUAAGAAUGAAUUUGAGAUUUCUGAAUUAUGUUGUGCUUUUGUUGAGACAUUAAAAUCCUAUAGAAUUGACAUCCAGAUUGAAAUCUGACAACAGAUGGCCCUAUAGACUUUGACGUCUCUAAAUCUUUCAAACGACAUUUAUAUGUCGUCUUAAAAUAUAAAAAAAAGAUAAUAGUAGAUGUCGUCUGAGAUAGAUAUCAGACGACAGACAAAUGACGUUUGAAUUGGUGUGAGACGACAUACAGUUGCUCACUUUUGAGUAUAAAGUAAUUUCAAUGACACUUUUAUGUCGUUAUAAUCAUUGUCUAACGACAGAUAAUUUGAGUUUGUUGCAUAUUUAGAUGCAUACACACGACAGAUGUGUUUAUAUUGUAUGUCGUGUGAAGUUUAUCAGACGACAGAUUUUGCAUGUCGUCUGAAUGCUUAUCAGAUGGCAGCUCGAUAGACGACACGCAAAAAAAUGAUUAGACGACAGGCUUUAGCAACUCGAUAAACGACACGCAAAAAAAUGAUCAGACGACGGGCAAAGCCUGUCGUCUGAAAGCAAAAUUGACGUAGUGUUUUUUGUUUCCCAAGUCCUUUGAAUACUUUUCUUCCUUCUUUGAUCACUUCAAUAUCUAGACACCAUGGGUUUCCGAUUUCCUAAAGUUGCUAGCACAAAGGCAUCAGAUAUACCAAAGGCCUACUUUGCGGUUUAUGUUGGAGAGAACCAGAAGAAACGAUUUGUUGUUCCAAUAUCAUAUUUGAACCAAAUUUUGUUUCAGGAUUUGCUGACUCAAGCUAAAGAAGAAUUUGGAUUCCAUCAUCCAACGGGUGGUAUCGCAAUUCCUUGCAGCGAAGACACCUUCAUUGAUCUCACUUCCCACUUAAGUGUGUGAGUAAACACUAAUGAAGCAGAUCCUGGAUCCAAAAUAUCCUGAUUUGAAAACUUGCUGCUCAGUCAAGAUGAAGUAGCUUCAGUUGAUAAUUUGAUCAUCCACAGAAUCAGAUCACUCUUGUGGAGGAAAAACUGGCCUGCUGGACUGCUACCUUGGUGAAGAGGGCUUUCCAAAGUUUGAGGAAGAACCAAAUCAUAGCUUAUCAUGAGACAAAACAUGAAAAUUGUAGACUCUCUCUCUGCAGUUAGUGUAUAGUUCAUGAGACUCCAUAUUUUGACCUCAAUGACAGUCAAGUUCUGUCUUUUACUCCUAAAUUAAACUGUCUUGUUUUUUUAGAAAAUAAGGGAAUGCAAAGGAAUAUAUUUCAAUUCCUGAUGAACUUUCGGGUCUAAUUUCUAAUAGAUCAUUUUGCUCGCAGUGAUAUAAUUACCAAAAUCAAAGCAUAUGUUGAAAAGGAAGUAAUGCUUGGUGAUAUAAUGGUUUUAUCUGAUUUAUGAUAUAUGCAGAUGAAGCCUGAUUAUGGUGUCUUCAAUUAGACACAUUGAUAUUAACAUUACCAUUAAGAUAUCUGCAGAUGAAGCCUGAAACAGUAAAUAUGGUAAACGAUAUAAUUAUAGCAGAUGAGAAAAUUUCAAAAGAAAAAAAAAACAAAGUAGAGAUGUUUACACCUAAAUUAAUAUUUUACUAGACAGUAAUUGUUUAGGUAAAUAUUAGUUAAAUUCAUAGUACACGUCAUACAAGCGAGCCCAAAAUAUUAAGUUUACAAGUGAUGAUCCGCCAGCAAAAUCAGGCGAGCUGGGUAGUAGAGUUCACAUGUGACAAGAAAUGGACUGACUUCGCAUAGAAGAUUGAGCGAGGCGAGAUACCUUCGCGCGAGAAGACUUCGCCAGGAGAAGAGUUUACGUGUAUUAAGGUUUCUAUUCUUUAAUCACAUGUAUGCAAGUGUAUGUACUCCCUAUGCGUGGCGAAGGAUAAUGCUUGCAGCUACAGUGGAGGCGAGAUGCAUGCGAAGAGGUUGCAUGCGAAACAGAAACAACUACCUCGCGGGGUGGAUAAACAUGAUUGCACGGCGAGAUGGUUCAUUAAGGAUCAUUAUCUUUAUUCAAGCAUGAUUGCAUGGGGAAGCUUACGUCCACAUCUUCAUGAGAUUGGUUGUAUGUGGUGGUUAAGGUCUCUAUUCCUUAAUUGGAUUUACAUGAAUUGACUACGUCCACAUCUUCAUGAGAUUGGUUCUACUCCUCUACAUAGUAGGCAGUUAGUUACUUCGCCAAAGCAUAAUCACGUCCAGCAAGUGAUUAACAUCGCCUACGCCAUAUUUAUCGUUGAAAACUCCUACAAGUCUUUGACAUGUUUUGGGCCAAUACUUGUGGCCCCAAAUAACUCUAUAUAAAGGAGUUUGAGGUUCUCUCUACUGCACAACUCAAAAACUCAACAACUCAACAAAAAUACAAUACAACUAUCGACCUAGUCGAACCUAAAUGCUAAAGCAUCUCGCCUUAGCAACAUUUUUCCUUUCAAGCUCCCCGGAGCUCUGUUUCUUUACUUUCCCGGCUCCCCGGAGUCAUUGCACCCUUUACUUUUCAAGCUCCCCGGAGCUCCCUUGCGUUCUCGUUUUCCUUUCCUUUGGUUGCUCUACUCGCUACAACCGCGAGUAUCGAUAUCGGUGGCGAAGAAGCUACUCUAAAUCCUCGUCCGUGAGGUGCCACCGGAGCCCUACUCUCGUUUGAUUAGAAGCACAGGUUAGCGCACUACAACAACAACCCUACUACAUUCCGCGUCAGCACAGUAGCACGCUCCACAUCCCUAGAAGCAUUAACUGCUACCGUCUCUCUCUCCUUGCUGAGGAUUGUGGCCAAAACAAGAGAUACAAUAGCCUUUAUGGGAUAAAGAGAAACCAGACCCAGAAAUAAACAAAUAAGUGUCUGUGGUGGCAUUUUCAAGUACAGAUCAGAAGUAUGGAAAUCUCUGAGAAUUAAAGUAGGAGUAGAAAAAGGCUCUGAAUACCGUUCUUAAUUGAAACGCAAGUAAUUAAAAUUUAGAGAAUUUUAAGAGAAACAAGAGCAAAGAGCAUAAAUAUAUGUAUAUACAAUUGUCCCUAUACAAUUAUACAUGAUACGUAUGUGUAAGUACGUAGUUGGUAUGUAUGCAUAUUUUUUUUUAUUAAAUUUCUUGUAUCUGAAAUAUAUGUAUAGAAUAAGAAGAUUAAGAUCUAUCCACAAAACACAUAGCCACAGUCAUUAAAUCAUCACAAAAACCAUGAACUACAGUUUCCUAGUAGCACUAGGAGAUUACCAUGUCACAGCUGCUCAGCCUCAACGAUUGCCAUCUGAUCUUGUUCUGAACCUCUAACACCACAGAAACACAAACACAAAAAUAACUUAAAUUCUUCUAUGCUAUGCUGCUAGUUUUCUCACAGUAUUGGACGGUUAUCUCUUAAUGAAUUUCUGUAGCUAGCAUAGGUUACUUUAGUCAUACUUGGUGUUGAUUCGACUAGGACCUCUUGUAUACUAGGUGUUGAUUCUCAACAUAGUUCAUUCCAAAUCAUUCCAUAUUUUAUUUAUUGGCUACCGAAUGAAACAUCAAUCUCUGUUGUCCCAUUGGCACCUAAAGCCCCAUCAGAGCAGAGGAACUAUUGCUGAUCAUGGCUGCUCUUUUAUGGGAGCCGCAACAUUUGUGAUGCCCUGUUCUAGUUUCUUUCCGGCAUUUACGUGGAUCAAUGAAUAAUAAUGCAACUUUUCUGCUAUGGUUGAGGGCCUGAGGCCAAGGUGCAAAAGAUAUUUCCGGCAUUUUUCAUCAUUUGCGGCACCAAGAUCCUGACCAAAAAGGACAAUAAUUCGAGCUAUCUAUGAUCUAUCUAUAUAUCUUGGCCUUACUAGGAAAAAAUUAUU